GGGAAAGAAGUAUUAACCUUGAAUUGUAAUAUGUAAUUCGCAUCAAUCAGUUCCAUAAAAACAACCUCAUGCUUUCAAUGAAACAUGCCAUACUACAAUGAAACCUUGAAUUCCUGCUGGACUUUUGUACCCCCUAAAUAGCCAGACACAAAAUGCAUCGUAUUUUUAUGCUCCUAGCUUUCUAGAUAUUUGUCAUAGGAGCAAAGUACAGAAGCAAGACAAUAGUGUGUUUAAGCUCAAACGAAAGUUGACAGAAUCAUCAUAUUCCAGGUUAUGCCAAAAGGGCUGGUGAGCAGUCUCGGCAAGCAGGAAGUCCACAGUUGAGGCAGGCCCGGAGUACUUGUUAUAUUAUCCAGAAAACAGUAAUUUUCUUCAUAUGUCCACUAGCAGAAAAGGAGAGUCCUCGUUCAAUUACUUUACAUUUAAGAACCAGCUGGAUGCGGGAAGCUGAGACCACUCUGCCUCCUCACAUGUUCAGGUAUGAGCCUGUUGAUCAAUUCAGGUGAAGCUCCUGACAGUUCCUGUUUGAAGUUGAAAAGAUGCGGCAAUGGCCGACCAUUUGGAAGGCGGGCAUUAGGCUCACGUAGCUCAUCAAAGAAAGAAUGUGCACAAGCUUCAAGCUGAGGUAUCAGAAACAGAAAGAGAGGUCAACCAAGUGACAGACUAUCAUCAUAUGCUUAAGAGAAACUGGGAAAAUAGACUAAUAUAGGAAUUCCAAAUUGCAACAGUGGAUGACAAGCUGCAGCUCUGAUGACAGCAUCAGGUGUGAUGAUGACCCAGCUCUUAUCAAAGUCUUUAUUGGCAAGUGAUAAGUUCUGAUUUCUUGUGAAAACAAACUCUAUCUUGGGACCAAUAUAGAACAUUAAAAAAGAAGUUCGACUUACUGCAGUGCAACGAAGACUAGGUGAAUAUUGAAGAAGCCGAGAAGCAAGGUCAAUUGCUUCAGGAGGCAUCCGUUUGUGGAAAAUCUGAACAUAAAAAUCCCAACAAAUUAAACAAAAAUAUAAACUUGGACACAAGAUCCCACAAUCUACAAUAAUAGAUUGGCUUAUACACAGUAAGGAAAACCCUUACAAUCACUAUAUUUUCCAUGUAUACAGCUUGGACCAAUAUUAUAUACAACAGUAACACAUUCACCAAAGAAGGUUGACCCAAGUUUGAAUUUAUUCCCUUGCAUAUCGAAUGUAAGAAGCAUGUUUUGCAUGUUUAUUUUUAGCUACAGACUAUACAUUCCAAAUGGAUGCAAGAAGUACGGUCUAUUUAAGUUUAGUCACCAUUGAGUUACAACCAUGCUAUCACCAUACCUGCUGAGAGAGAAGCACUGAUAAGUCACUGCUGUAUUUGAAGUUACAUCAAAGACAGAAUACUAGUAUGCCUGCUAAUAUCAUUCACUUAUAAUUUUCUCACUACAAGGUAUAACAUAUGAGAAAAUAUUUUUUUUCUCUGCCUUUAUGGGUUCAAGUCAACCUAUUAAACUAUUGAAGAGAAAAAACCCCUACUAAGCCAUUUAGUAGCACAUGGUCAUUAUUUCUCCUACAUUGCAUAAAAAAGACAAUUUUAUGCUGAUACACGUUGAGCACUUGCAAUUAUACCAAUUAGCACUAAAUUUAAAUUCAUGUUGAGGACCAAAUACUAGCAUGUCUGCUAAUAGCAAGCGCUUAUAUGUUGUACCCCACUAUAAGCAUAAUUUUUUUCUCUGCCCUUCCAGGCAUCAAACUCUAAGAAACUAUUUCACAAGAUCCAUAUUAAAAAAGGCACAGUGAAGUAUAAACCUUGUGCCACGGAUGAGCUUUAAUCUGUGGGAAUCUAAAAUCCGUAUAAUUUGGAUUCAUGCAUCGAAUUUCUUCUCGUGUUGGAGUACCAAGAACCUACUAGAGAGCAGUUGAGAAAUGAUUAAAAGACUUGAAAAAUUGCAUGUACAUCAGUAAAAUCAACAUAGGUAAUAAGACUUCACCUUGAUGAUCUCAACAAGUUGAUCUACAGCAUUUUCCCCAUGAAACAAUGGCUAAGAAAAGAUUUAGAAAUAUUGAGUAAACAGAAUGAUCGAAGGAAUAGAUUACCAUAACCGAUUGAUAACUGCAGCACAUAAAAUGCAAUUAAAGUCAACAACCUGGCCCAGAAGAAGCUCAGCCAAUACACAACCAGCUGACCAAAUAUCAAUCGAAGUGUUAUAUUCUGUUGCACCAAAUAUGAGUUCUGGAGCCCGAUAAUAACGAGAACAUAUAUAUGAUAUGUUUGCUUCACCCUGGACCUAAUGGCAAAAAUAAAUAAAUAACAGAAGUACUGUAAAUAAUAACUUAGGCACUCCUACAAAAUUUAGAAGUUAUGCAAACCCCAUAAGGUUAGGCCUUUUUUAACUUUGUUACCCUGUGGUUUCCUGCAUUACUUAUGGUUUCAGUGAAAAUAACAGAAACAUUAAAAUUAAGACUUAAGAAACAACUUCCGAUUUUACUAAGAAAACAUUAAAUAUCACUUCUGAAAGGUACAAAUGAAAUCUAAGUUUCACUUAAUUUUAAUAUAUUUAACACAAAAAAGAUGAAUGAUUGCAAGAAAAUCAAUUAAUUUUAAUUGAGAAAAAAAUAAUGAAGCAAAUCUCAAGCUAAAAUUGUUGUAUAAAAAAUCAGGGUAGCAAAGUUCCUUAUGGACUUUCAAUACAGAGGGUUUGUCUAAUUCUAUCAAAUUAGCAUGAAGCAAGAUAGCUAAAAAUCUACUGCCAUUGUCAAUAUUAAUGAACAAAACAAAGAUGAUAUCAAGACUCAAAUAACAUUUAAAUUAGAUUGUGUCUGAUGAGGAGAUUAUAAAUAUAUACUUAGUUGCAUGCAUACAUGUAUAUACUUAGUUGCAUGCAUACAUGACUAUAAUCAUGUGUAAAACAUAACAAAAAAAUAGAUAUAACUACUAAUGGAUCCAGCUUGUAAAUAAGUAGCACGACACAUAGCAUAAAAAGUUAUACUAAACUAAUUAAUACUUUAUUUAAUUCUGCAGUAUGACAAAAUGUUAGAAAACCAUGGCACAUUAUGCCAUUAUUUCCCUUCAAAGUCAGUGUGUCCUACAAAUGACUCAAGAUGCAUUAUCAUUGGUCUUCAUUUGUAAUAAGUUGAUGUCAAAACAUCAAAUCUUGAAUUGUCAAUAGCUAGAAGCAAGCAUUCAGGAGCUCCACUUAAUUUAUAGCUCUAAUUCACAUAUUGUAUGCCACUUUACGGCACCAAUUGCUCUCAUAAUGACACACUUAGAAGAAGCAAGAAUAAACUGCAAGUAGGGGACGACAUACCAAGACUUUAGCACUUCCAAAGUCACAAAGCUUAACCUGGUGAGUGAGGGGAUCAACCAAAAGAUUUUGAGGCUUUACAUCUCUGUGGCAAACUCCAGGAACAGUAUGGAUAUAUGCCAAACCCCUAAACAUUUGGUAUGUAUAGAGUUUCACAUAGAUGAGUGGCAUCCGUUGGUUUAUACUACUAUAGUGCUUCAAAACCCUGUACAUUGUUUCAGGAACAUAUUCCAUGACCAAAUUCAGGAAAAGCUCAUCUUUACUUGUUGUGGAGAAAAAACAAUGCUUCAGGGAAACCACAUUUGGGUGAUCCAUCAACCGCAUCAAUUGCAGCUCACGAUUUUUAUACCGCCUGUCCUGUAACACUUUCUUUAUAGCCACUGUCUCUCCAGUUUCCAAGCAUUUCGCCUGAAAAACAAUUCCGAAUGAUCCAGUGCCUACAACUCGCUCAGCCAUGUAACUGAUGGUUUGUUUGGGCUCCCCAUUCUUGCCUCCAAUGGUAGUGGAAAUGAUAUGGCCUGUAACUGCAUCAUUCCCAUCAACUUCUGCAGAUGUCAUUUCCUUAUCGGAAUCCAUAUAGAAGCUGAGAGGGUGAAGCCUCAGUGGGUCAUCUUGCGAUGUAGCUAUGUGUGAUUGCUGGGUUUGAUGAUGAUGAUGAUGAAGAAGAAGAAGAAGAUGAAGCCGGAGGAUAUGAAAUUGUAGCCAACAGGCCAGCAACAAUGAGCUCAGCUGCUGGGUGAGAGUUUUGAAGUAUUUUAAGGCCAAAGAACAAAAAGCAAGAAAAGAGAAUUUUUGUGAGAGGCGUUCUUAGAUCCUAAUUGGAGUUGCAAGUUGCAAGCGGUGAUGGGCAAGAUUCCGGCAGCCGUGAAUUGGGGUGGAAGAAUCUCGUCAACUUGUAAGCAAGAAAACACAUGGUGAGGGAUCCAUAGCAUUUAGUCAGUGGAUUAUAUGUUUAAUUAUUUUUAUAAUUUAUUUAUUUUUUGCUAAAUAAAUAAGGUGAGAGGAAGAAGAAGAAGAGAGUUUCAGGUUCAAAAAGAAUAAAUGAAAAAUGAGACUAGUGUUGUAUUUUUCUUUUAUUUUCCAUGGUGGUGUAAAUGUUACAAUUUAGAAAUGGUUUUUAAUUAUUUUUUUCUAUGGCUCAACA
rnacentral:misc_RNA from 1 species